UACGAAGGGUGCAAGCGUUAAUCGGAAUUACUGGGCGUAAAGCGUGCGUAGGCGGUUUGUUAAGUCUGCUGUGAAAUCCCCGGGCUCACCUGGGAAUGGCAGUGGAUACUGGCAAGCUAGAGUGUGUCAGAGGAUGGUGGAAUUCCCGGUGUAGCGGUGAAAUGCGUAGAGAUCGGGAGGAACAUCAGUGGCGAGGGCGCCAUCUGGG
rnacentral:rRNA from 1 species